AACGCACAUUGCGCCCUCCGGUAUUCCGGGGGGCAUGCCUGUUCGAGCGUCAUUACAACCCUCAAGCUUUGCUUGGUAUUGGGUGCUACCGUUUUGGUACACCUUAAAAUCAGUGGCGGUGCCACCUGGCUUCUAGCGUAGUAAUACUCCUCGCUAUGGAGAUGGGCGUGUACUUGCCAUAACCCCCAAUUUUUUAAGGUUGACCUCGGAUCAGGUAGGGAUACCCGCUGAACUUAA
rnacentral:misc_RNA from 1 species